AACGAACGCUGGCGGCGUGCCUAAUACAUGCAAGUCGAGCGAGAAAGCCUCUUCGGAGGUGAGUAAAGCGGCGCACGGGUGAGUAACACGUGGGCAACCUACCCUUGAGUCUGGGAUAACCCGGGGAAACUCGGGCUAAUACCAGAUACGGCUGCGGGGUCUUCGGAUCCUGUGGAGAAAGAUGGCCUCUUCUUGAAAGCUAUCUCUCGAGGAUGGGCCCGCGUCCUAUUAGCUAGNGGUGAGGUAACGGCUCACCAAGGCAAAGAUGGGUAGCUGGUCUGAGAGGAUGGCCAGCCACACUGGAACUGAGACACGGUCCAGACUCCUACGGGAGGCAGCAGUAGGGAAUUUUGGGCAAUGGGCGAAAGCCUGACCCAGCAACGCCGCGUGUGGGAUGAAGGCCCUCGGGUCGUAAACCACUGUCAGGAGAAAGAAAAGCUGGCCGGCUAACAUCCGGUCGGCCUGACGGUACCUCCAAAGGAAGCACCGGCUAACUCCGUGCCAGCCGCCGCGGU
rnacentral:rRNA from 1 species